AGGUUUCUGGUGCUUGCCACAGGCUCUGGAGUAAGAGCAGGCAAAGCAAACCAACCCAUGUACACCUCAGUCCAGGCCCUGCACCUGGUCGUCGCCAUUGCAAAUGGGAGGACAGGG
ensembl:snoRNA